UGGAUUGAACCUCAUCAAAAGAUGUGAGACAUCCGAUCUUCGGAUUGGACCUCACCAAAAGAUGUGAAACAUUCAAUCUCCAAAUUGGACUUCACCAAAAGAUGUGAGAUAUCUGAUCUCUAGAUUAGAUCUCACCCAAUAUUGUAGAACAUCCGAUCUUCAGAUUGGACUUCACCAGGCAAUACAGGGCAUCCGAUCUUCAGAUUGGACCUCACCAAGUAA
rnacentral:lncRNA from 1 species